GCGAACGCUGGCGGCAGGCUUAACACAUGCAAGUCGAGCGCCCCGCAAGGGGAGCGGCAGACGGGAGAGUAACACGUGGGAACGUACCUUUCAGUUCGGAACAACCAAGGGAAACUUUGGCUAAAACCGGAUACGCCCGUAAGGGGAAAGAUUUAUCGCUGAAAGAUCGGCCCGCGUCUGAUUAGCUAGUUGGUGGGGUAAUGGCCCACCAAGGCGACGAUCAGUAGCUGGUCUGAGAGGAUGAUCAGCCUCACUGGGACUGAGACACGGCCCAGACUCCUACGGGAGGCAGCAGUGGGGAAUAUUGGACAAUGGGCGCAAGCCUGAUCCAGCCAUGCCGCGUGGAUGAUGAAGGCCUUAGGGUUGUAAAGUCCUUUUAACGGGGAAGAUAAUGACGGUACCCGUAGAAUAAGCCCCGGCUAACUUCGU
rnacentral:rRNA from 1 species